GUUAGAAUUCUUCGCGUUGGUGCUCGCGCUGUGGUUCACACAUCGCAGUUCAACGGGAAGCAGGAGGGUGAGCCAUGCAAGGCGAACCUAACCUGCGCUGCCCCCGCAACGGUAAGUGGACGAACCCUUUUGGGUUCCGCUGCCAUCAAGACCACUGAAUGUUUCAAACACAUUUGGGAAGGUGAUGGCGGUUUGCUCCAUCAGCCCGGAUACCGGCCAACGCGGUGGUUGCACG
rnacentral:ncRNA from 2 species